AUGUGCCCAGAUGCCUACAGCAGGCCUGACGAUAAUUCCACUUACGCUUGCCCAUCGGGCACAGAGUACCAGGUCAUCUUCUGUCCCCUGAUUAAUCAAACACUAUUACCUACAGCUGAAAGUCCCCUGCCUGCACCCCCGGCCGAGGCAACACCUCCGACCCCAAGUACUCUGCCUACAGCUAUUGGGCCAACAAGCAUGAAACCGAAAUCCCCCUCUGGAAGAAGAGUUGUUGCAAUUCUAGCUCCUCUAGGCGGCUUCAUUUUACUCACCAUCUUGUUCCUCGUCGCCUUCUUUAUAUGUAAACGAAGAACACAACAACAGCAUGAGAUGGAAGAAGAGGAAGAGUUUGGGGAGCUACAAGGAACACCAAUGAGGUUCACAUUUCAACAACUAAGAGCAGCAACCAAGCAAUUCGCAUACAAGCUCGGGGAAGGAGGAUUUGGGUCUGUUUUCAAGGGACAAUUUGGUGAUCAAAGGAUUGCAGUGAAACGUUUGGAUCGAACUGGUUAG
rnacentral:rRNA from 1 species